rnacentral:rRNA from 1 species
GACGAACCGUGCGAACGUUAUUCGGAAUCACUGGGCUUAAAGCGCGUGUAGGCGGAAGGGCACGUCCGUUGCUGAAAUCCCCCGGCUCAACCGGGGAACGGGCGCGGAUACGACUCUUCUGGAGGGGCGUAGGGGGACCUGGAACUUCCGGUGGAGCGGUGGAAUGCGCAGAUAUCAGGAGGAACACCGGUGGCGAAGGCGGGUCUCUGGGCCGUUACUGACGCUGGAGGAGCGAAAGCGUGGGGAGCGAACAGG